UACAGAGGGUGCAAGCGUUAUUCGGAAUUACUGGGCUUAAAGGGUGCGUAGGCUGCGCAGAAAGUUGGGUGUGAAAUACCUCGGCUCAACCGAGGAACUGCGCCCAAAACUACUGUGCUCGAGGAAGAUAGAGGUGAGCGGAACUUACGGUGGAGCGGUGAAAUGCGUUGAUAUCGUAAGGAACACCUGUGGCGAAAGCGGCUCACUGGGUCUUUUCUGACGCUGAUGCACGAAAGCUAGGGGAGCAAACGGG
rnacentral:rRNA from 1 species